UACAGAGGGUGCGAGCGUUAAUCGGAGUUACUGGGCGUAAAGCGCACGUAGGUGGCGACGCAAGUCGGGUGUGAAAGCCCCGGGCUCAACCUGGGAAUUGCAUUCGAGACUGCAUUGCUGGAGUACGGAAGAGGAAGGCGGAAUUCCCGGUGUAGCGGUGAAAUGCGUAGAUAUCGGGAGGAACAUCAGUGGCGAAGGCGGCCCUCUGGUCCAGUACUGACACUCAAGUGCGAAAGCGUGGGGAGCAAACAGG
rnacentral:rRNA from 1 species